rnacentral:rRNA from 1 species
CCUACGGGGGGCGGCAGUGGGGAAUAUUGCACAAUGGGCGAAAGCCUGAUGCAGCAACGCCGCGUGAGCGAUGAAGGCCUUCGGGUCGUAAAGCUCUGUCCUCAAGGAAGAUAAUGACGGUACUUGAGGAGGAAGCCCCGGCUAACUACGUGCCAGCAGCCCCGGUC